rfam:Trichoderma virens Gv29-8 TRIVIscaffold_90, whole genome shotgun sequence.
GGCGAGAUGGCCGAGUUGGUUAUGGCGUCAGGUUAAGGCUACCUUAACAGCAAUUCCUGGUGGAGCAAUCCGCGUGGGUUCGAGUCCCACUCUCGUCA